UGCCUAGGGUUGUUAGUCAACAUAAAAUAAACAUUAACUAAAAAAAAAGGUAUAUAUAUAUAUAUAUAUAUAUAUAUAUAUAUAUAUAUAUAUAUAUAUAUAUAUAUAUAUAUAUAUAUAUUUAUUAUUAUUAUUAUUAUUAUUAUUAUUAUUAUUUUAUUUAUUUUUUUAGCCAUUUGCUAAGUUUUAUAUACUUUACCUUUAUGUAGCAAGAUACAGUAACUAAAACUGAAAUAAAUAAUGAUACAAAUUUUAUGGGCAUGUUAAAAAAUUAAAUAAAAUAAAUACAAAAAGUAUAAUAAAAAUGUCAAAGAUGCACAACAAAAUUGUAAAAUUAAAAUGGAAAAUAUUACAAAUUAAUUAAAGCUAUGAAUAAAAAUACACAGUAGUGUCUUAAUGAUAUUAAAAUAACCCUGCUGAAAGAAACUGUUGAUCAUGGUCAUAUAAGCAAUUUAUUAUAUAUAUAUAUAUAUAUAUAUAUAUAUAUAUAUAUAUAUAUAUAUAUAUAUAUAUAUAUAUAUAUAUAUAUAUAUAUAAUAUUCUGGUUGGGUUAGGUCAAGCUUUAUAUUAUAUUUAUUAUUAUUAUUUUUGAUACUGCAUUGGCAUUAAAACUGGGAUCAAGAAUGGUGAACUAUUAAUGCCACUUGUAUCGUGACCACCCUUACAUGAGUUAUUAUAUUAUUUAUAAAUUUAUAUAUGUAACUAUGCCUCAGUGGUGAUUGAGGGAGCAGUGAAGACUGAAGGUGUUUGUGUCUGUGCUCAGGAGACAGCGGCCGUGUCCCGAUCGGCCUCCAUUAAAGAGUCGGGUCCUAAACCGGUGCAGAACGAGGACCAAUCAGAGCCCAGACACACCAGUCCACUGGAGUACAGCAGGACUCUGGCCACUCAGAACAGCUUACAGACAGCCGUCAUGGUGCGUGUGGGCACUGAGGAAGACGAGGAGGAGGAAGAGGAAGAUGAGGAGGAGGAGGAGAAGCCCUCCAGUCAAGAGCAGGACGUGUCGUAUGAGCUGAGCAACAGCAAACACAGCACACUGAUGUCAGUGAGCAGUCUGUCGACUCCGCCCCAAUCUCCAAGCUCCUCCUCCUCUCCCCCACCUCCACCCUCCCCCCCACAGCUGACGGACGGAUCGCACUUCAUGUGUGUGUGAGCGGAGAGACGGACGACAGCCUCUCCGCCGACAUCAGUGAAGCUCAGCGUGUGAGGAGGGGACGUCCCGUCGUGAGCCAAACACAUCAUCAUCAUCAUCAUCAGAGACAGACAGGACACAGAGACGUCCAAGCCUUAGUUCAAACCAUUCUUUUAUAGUGAUUAUUAUUUAUAUUCCUCUUGAGUUUCCUGACGCAUCUGUAGAUGCCAGAGUUUUAUUGUUUGAUGGGGUGUGCAGAUGUGUCUGAGGUGCUAUCAAACCCUCGCUCUUGUACAUUACAGCGCUCAGACUCGCUCUCAACAGGAAGUGGAGGGACAAAGCCCUUUUAUUCAGACUGCUGAGGAUCGCGUUCAACGUUGGCUUGUUUUAUAUGGAUUUUAAUCAGUCUCUCUCCUGGUUUUACCUAGGGUUUUUAAUGUCUGACACCCAUCGUUUCUUUUUUGCUGUUUGUGUAUAAACAAUGUACAACUAUAAAGAGUCAAUAAAGUGCCAGCGUACUGCUGCCGAAGGACAGGAUUUGUAAAUGAUCUGUAUGUUGGAUAGUCCGCAGUAGCCACCACACUGUUUCCCGACACACUCAUGAAUGUUCCAGCUUACUGUACCUUUUAUUUUUCUAUGGCUGAGAUGUAUUUAACUCUAUAGAGACGAGUACAGAGUAUUAGCGUUUUCAGAAGAGUAUUCCAGAGGUCGGCUUUGGUUUGAGGAGAACAGCACACCACGAGCAAGCGUUUAUAGCCGUUGAUAAAGCAAUAAAAGCAGGGUUUGGUGUUUAACUUGGAUGUACAAACUGUAAAGUUCAUGAUGUAUAUACUGUACACCAUUCUAUGAGCAGAGCAGAGACGCAGAAGAGGUUAUGUAUCAGAGUCAAUAUGCAAAUGUUCAGAUUUCAUCUGUUUUAUAUCAUGUGAAAUAAAUGUUGAUGUUCUUAUAUAUAUAUAUAUAAAUAUAUAUAUAUGAAAAGCUUUCGAUUCCUUUUUUCUGUCUGAUGAAUAUUACAAAAAAUAUAUACUUUAUAUUUAUUUUUUAUUUAAAAAAAUAUGUACAUAUAUUCAUUCAAUUAUACAAACAUUUUCUCUAAAAUUUAUUAUGCAUUUAAUUUGAUUUAAAAGAAAUACAC
ensembl:lncRNA